UCAAGGAGAAAAGUUGGGAACAACAAGC
rnacentral:piRNA from 1 species